GUAGGGAAUAUUGGACAAUGGGGGGAACCCUGAUCCAGCCAUGCCGCGUGGAGGAAGACUGCCCUCUGGGUUGUAAACUCCUUUUAUAUGGGAAGAACCGUCCUCAUUAAUGAGUGACCUGACGGUACCAUAGGAAUAAGCACCGGCUAACUCCGUGCCAGCAGCCGCGGUAAUACGGAGGGUGCAAGCGUUAUCCGGAUUCACUGGGUUUAAAGGGUGCGUAGGCGGAUAAAUAAGUCAGUGGUGAAAUCAACGGGCUCAACCUGUUAACUGCCAUUGAUACUGUGUAUCUUGAAUAUGAGAGAGGUAGACGGAAUGUUGCAUGUAGCGGUGAAAUGCUUAGAUAUGCUACGGAACACCGAUUGCGAAGGCAGCUUACUAUUUCGUAAUUGACGCUGAGGCACGAAAGCGUGGGUAGCGAACAGGAUUAGAAACCCCAGUAGUCC
rnacentral:rRNA from 1 species